CCCUUAGAUGUUCUGGGCCGCACGCGCGCUACACUGACGAAUGCAACGAGCUUAUAACCUUGGCCGAAAGGUCUGGGUAAUCUCCAAAUUUCGUUGUGAUGGGGAUAGAUUAUUGCAAUUAUUAAUCUUCAACGAGGAAUGCCUAGUAAGCGCAAGUCAUCAGCUUGCGUUGAUUACGUCCCUGCCCUUUGUACACACCGCCCGUCGCUCCUACCGAUUGAAUGGUCCGGUGAAGCGUUCGGACCGUGGCCUUUGGACGGUUCGCCGUCUGUUGGCUGCGGGAAGUUCGUUAAACCUUAUCAUUUAGAGGAAGGAGAAGUCGUAACA
rnacentral:rRNA from 1 species